rnacentral:rRNA from 1 species
AAUGCCGGAUGCUCCAGUUGAUCGCAUGGUCUUCUGGGAAAGCCUUUGCGGCAUGGGAUGGGGUCGCGUCCUAUCAGCUUGAUGGCGGGGUAACGGCCCACCAUGGCUUCGACGGGUAGCCGGCCUGAGAGGGCGACCGGCCACAUUGGGACUGAGAUACGGCCCAGACUCCUACGGGAGGCAGCAGUGGGGAAUAUUGCACAAUGGGCGCAAGCCUGAUGCAGCGACGCCGCGUGAGGGAUGGAGGCCUUCGGGUUGUAAACCUCUUUUGUUAGGGAGCAAGGCAUUUUGUGUUGAGUGUACCUUUCGAAUAAGCACCGGCUAACUACGUGCCAGCAGCCGCGGUAAUACGUAGGGUGCAAGCGUUAUCCGGAAUUAUUGGGCGUAAAGGGCUCGUAGGCGGUUCGUCGCGUCCGGUGUGAAAGUCCAUCGCUUAACGGUGGAUCCGCGCCGGGUACGGGCGGGCUUGAGUGCGGUAGGGGAGACUGGAAUUCCCGGUGUAACGGUGGAAUGUGUAGAUAUC